GUCCAGACUCCUACGGGAGGCAGCAGUGGGGAAUAUUGCACAAUGGGGGAAACCCUGAUGCAGCGACGCCGCGUGAGCGAUGAAGUAUUUCGGUAUGUAAAGCUCUAUCGGCAGGGAAGAAGAUGACGGUACCUGACUAAGAAGCCCCGGCUAACUACGUGCCAGCAGCAGCGGGAAUACGUAGGGGGCAAGCGUUAUCCGGAUUUACUGGGUGUAAAGGGAGCGUAGACGGCGAUGCAAGCCAGAUGUGAAAGCCCGGGGCUCAACCCCGGGACUGCAUUUGGAACUGUGUGGCUGGAGUGUCGGAGAGGCAGGCGGAAUUCCUAGUGUAGCGGUGAAAUGCGUAGAUAUUAGGAGGAACACCAGUGGCGAAGGCGGCCUGCUGGACGAUGACUGACGUUGAGGCUCGAAAGCGUGGGGAGCAAACAGGAUUAGAUACCCGAGUA
rnacentral:rRNA from 1 species